UAAAACAAUCAUGCCAUUUGUUUCCCUGUAUCAGAAAUUUGUCCGUGAUAAAAAAAAAAAAAAAAAAAGAAGGUUGCUAAAAUGUAAUUUGCAACUGUGGUGUGACCUACAUAUGAGAUCUGUUGGACACGAAUAUAAGAGCAUAACAGCUGAUUAUCCAGAUUAAUCUUGCAACAAGGGAAAUAGCCAAAUAAUGCAAGUUAUUUUAAACAUUGUAU